UUAUGCCCAGUGAAGGCUCCUUAUAUGCCACAAAGGCAUAUCAAGCCUCAUUCAGCGGGAUGAGUGCUCCAUCCUGGGCCUCUUUAAGAAAUGACCUUCCUUUUCCUGCCCCCGGUCUGUCAGAGGCACAGAUCUACAGCCAGUACAUAGCUUUGCUGGAAGAGAGUGGACCCUCUGCCAGAGACAACUCUGCGCAGCCAAAGAGCAGCCAUAUUACUUCCUCU